rnacentral:lncRNA from 1 species
ACUUGCUAGAUUCCACGUCCUCUGCGAGAUGUACGAGACAUAAUUCUUAUCGUCAAUAUCAGCAAUUAAGACACAUGAGAAGGUGAGGCGAUGAGCUGCGCCGCACUUGGCACGGCUUACCAUAGUUGAUCCCGACGUUGCCGAUGUGAGGACACGUGAAAGCGACAAACUGGCCUUUGUAGGACGGGUCCGUCAUAAUCUCCUGGUAUCCCGUCAAGGAUGUGUUGAACACGACCUGCGAAUCCAACGUGACACAGCUUGUGACCUAUACCGACUAGGGCAUGUCGGGACCCACGUUGUAGGCUCAUCGGCGGCCCCUAACCGCUGCAACUAAGCUACGUCACGCGCUAACCUCCGAAUUAUAUCUUAUCAUCUUGUUUUACGUAUUAGAACCUCGCAAUCGGGCUCCGCUUGCCGUCGGCACACCAACCCUAGUUGUAGGUGAUUGACGCCCUCACCUCGCCUAUCUCCGUGCCGCUCGCACCAAACGCCGUCGCGUGCCAUACUGAGCCGUCUUCCAGUACCAGACGUGCAUUCUUCUUUGGGAAUGGUGAAGUAGCGGCUUCUGCGCGCACGACGACGGUGCGCACCCUGCCGCCGCUUAGGGCUGCGGCUCUGCGGAAGCCAUGGCACGUCCUCCGACCAGCAGAACGCCCAGUUACUGGCGUCGAGACUACUUGACGGCUGCAGGGAGCAUGCAAGUCCGCAACACCGUAGGCGGCGCUGCGACCUUGCAGUUUUGUUUGCAAGCUUUGCAUUCUUCACGUCUAAUUACGUCUGUGUCCCUAUUUGAAUCGUAUCACAUCACCUUGCGUUCCAAAACACUUUAUAAGGCACAUGGCACUCAAACGAAUUUCGCUUUCGUGAGGUUGUACGACAAGGUACCGGAUAUGAAAUCACGAGCUGCAAAACUGUGUGAAGUUAAGAUAUGAUGAAAUUUACAGUACUGUCCGUCUGCUACACAGGAAGUCGACCGCGUAGUCAAGGUGGUCAGUCAUCACGUGUCAAUCAGGACCUUCAGGUUGGAUACAGCUCGUAACUGGGCCAAAUUAUGCCUUCAUAGCCUCGGUCCUUCAUAAUUAUUAGCUGGGUCAGCUGGUAACGCUUGAUCCAACGGCACUGCCAAGAAUUCACGUGCUGCUUUACAUCUGCAGCGUUAGGAAGGGAUCUAUCCACGCUACUUUCGCUCCAUCGUCCAUCAGUUCAGUCUGAUGCUGCCAUAGGAAAGACCCUUGCACAGAAAUGCCAGCUUUUUCCCCUGCCACUCUUCCCCGUCUUGGUCAACGGACUUCUGGUCACCGAUCAUUGACCACAAUACAACUGUGCGUCACGACCUUCAUACGCGUCCCUCUUACAAGUCGACUCCUCGACGUGCCAUCCUUCUUGGGUUUAUUCAAUAUCUGCAGUAGGAUUCGUACUGCCGAGCUCUACAUCAAACCCUUGCAAACACCCUGCAAAUCCCUGGGGGGAUCCCCACAUCAAGUACCUGCAACCGCACACGCACAAAGCUUCUUGCUGAGACACACAUACCUACAAACGUUUUUGAUGAUACACCAAAAAAUGUACCACAUCAGGGCGUGGCAAUUACCCCAAACCGCCAAGGAAAAAGCCAACGACUAACAGUCUUGCAACGGCAGCCUGAAGCAGGGCGACCCGCGCUGGCUCCAGUUUCUCUUUCCUCCUCUGCUUUGUACGACAUGUCGGUAAUAGUAGUGUACUGGUAAUGUCGGCACAAGCGGUGAAGCAUGAGGGAAGGAGAGGAGAAAGAGAGACACCUAAGCUGUGUGUGUAUUCCCUUCGGAGCAUAAAACUCCCUGCUCCAAACACACCAACCCCAUGUCAUUACACACUUGCUGGCAUGCAGCUUCCUGCGUUAAGACAGAAGAGAAAGGUCAGCUUCUCUUUCAGUUUGUACGGCAAUGGCAUCAUCGGAGACACCUGUUGUGGCACCUGACAACACACCGGACACGGACACGAGUGCAGCCUAGCAGCAGCCAGAACAGAAUACACUAAAACACACACGCAUGCACACACAUCAUUAUUUUUAUAACACCAGGUCAUCUGCGGCGCCGCGCCGCAAGGCGAUACCGUUAACAACACCGUCAGCCGGGGCCCCCGGCCUUCAUUGCCAAUCCUAGACAACCCAGGCACGAACACCCCACACCGUGCCCGCCUCACGCAACGCAAACCAGCCAAAACAAUUUGACCGCAACAAACCGCAAAAACCUCCACACCUGGCCGCACCCCGCGUUUCUGGGCGCUUCCUCCGGCCCCACUCCCUCACCUCACCUCAAUUACACCUCAACGAUACCCACUAACAGCGCCUCCAGUCAAACCCCCUCCCCCGAUUACCCGCUUCCUACUCCCACUGCAUUGCCGUACAGCUGCUUCCUCAGAGCCCUCACAGCUGCAGCAAAUCCGUACCCCUGUCCGCCACCUCCUUCACGGGGGGCCGGGCCAGAAACAACACCGAAGCGAACAGUGACCCACGGGCCGCUAGAACCGCCGCCCGCUGGCCGUCGACCAUCUGCAGCGUACGGCAGCCCUCCGGGAGACCCAGGUACCAGGCGUUCUCGUCCAAUUGGUCGUACGUUUCCGGGGCCUUAUCCGCUACCAGGAUGCCUGGGCCCUGCAGCCGCCGCUUGUCGUCGUCCGUCUUGAGGUGCGUUGUCGGUUAGCGGUUGGGCAGUUGGGUGAGGUUGGCUCUUGGGUCUAUAAUUUUGAUGUUUUACUGAAUUUUGGGUGCUAGGCACGCAGCCUUCCCGUCCUACAUCUAUAUUUAUACCUUCAACCCAAAGAUACCUCGCGUACGUGUGUGUGUGUGUGUGUGUGUGUGUGUGCACAUUUGCUUGCUUCUGUGUACCGGGCCCUCGUGUUCCCUCCGCCCUCCCUUUCCCCGGCCUCCCUGGGUUGCCUCCAAUAUUCUCCCCGGCCCCACCCACAUCCCCAUCCCCACCAGCCCCCAGGGUCCCCCCCUCGCUCUCUCUCCCUCCUGGGUGUCGGCAGCGCUCCCUUUGACUUCUCCAUCAUAUGACCUAAUCCCCAUCCACCCCUCUUCCACUCUUCCUCAUCCCCUCUUUUUCCCCGACCCCCACCUCCAAANNNNNNNNNNNNNNNNNNNNNNNNNNNNNNNNNNNNNNNNNNNNNNNNNNNNNNNNNNNNNNNNNNNNNNNNNNNNNNNNNNNNNNNNNNNNNNNNNNNNNNNNNNNNNNNNNNNNNNNNNNNNNNNNNNNNNNNNNNNNNNNNNNNNNNNNNNNNNNNNNNNNNNNNNNNCCUCCUCCCCAACACCAUCUCCCCCCCUCCCUUACCUUAGCCUUGGACCCCAGCAGCACGGCCUGCACCGCCGAGCAAUCCGCCAGAGUGAGGGCCACUGGGUGUCUGGCCAUGGACAGAGCCCUCCACUGCGGUAGCGCCACCCACGACCACGAGGUUGGCGGGGGCCGGCUGCUCCGGGGGGAGGCGGAGGAGGAGGUGGGCGAGGAGGAGGGCGAGGAGGUGGUGGUUGUGUCGAUGGUGAAGAUGCCAAAGGCACCCGACUGCGUCGUUC